rnacentral:rRNA from 1 species
GAGUUUGAUCUUGGCUCAGGACGAACGCUGGCGGCGUGCUUAACACAUGCAAGUCGAACGGUAAGGCUCCAGCUUGCUGGGGUACACGAGUGGCGAACGGGUGAGUAACACGUGGGUGACCUGCCCUGCACUUCGGGGAUAAGCCUGGGAAACUGGGUCUAAUACCGGAUAGGACCGCACCGUGAGGGUGUGGUGGAAAGUUUUUUCGGUGUGGGAUGGGCCCGCGGCCUAUCAGCUUGUUGGUGGGGUAAUGGCCUACCAAGGCGGCGACGGGUAGCCGGCCUGAGAGGGUGGACGGCCACAUUGGGACUGAGACACGGCCCAGACUCCUACGGGAGGCAGCAGUGGGGAAUAUUGCACAAUGGGCGGAAGCCUGAUGCAGCGACGCCGCGUGGGGGAUGACGGCCUCGGUU